rnacentral:lncRNA from 1 species
UCAUUUCACAUUAAUUGUUAAAUUUAUUUAUGCAAUAAAAAUGAGUAAUAAAUUUGUCAUCACAAAUCCUUCUUACACACUUGAAAAACGAAAUUACUUGUAUCAAAGAAAACAAGUUAGCCUAUAAUUAUAAAAACUAAAAGAUAAACCUAAAUUACAGCACUUGGAAUUACACUAAUUCAAAAAAUGAAAUAACUAAUAUAUUUGGUUGUGGCUUCCUGCUAGCGUGCGCAUUGUUUUUUUAUUUUUUUUCUAGCCCGAGUUGGCAUAAGCAUAGGAGUUCGGUUUCAUCAGAACUUGUUGCUUAUGAGAGCUUUGCCUGUCCUUGAAGUUGGUCCUAUUGCAAAGCAUCAUCAAAUUAAAUGAAUCGAAGUCAAACUGAAAGUACGAAACUUAGGUGAGCACAGAAGGAUUCGUGAUAGCAACAUGUAAAAGAACCUGCUAAAAUGACAUAAUAUAACUUGGCAUAUUUUUGGAUUGAGAUGAGAUAAACAGCAGUCACCACUAUAACUUGCAUUCACCAAAUUCAAAUGCUACAUUAUGUCAUGCAUGACACUACUCUUAAGCAUACACAAGUUCUUGGGUGAAUAUGUAUUUUGCAUAAAAAAUGUCUGCCUAACCAUUAAUUGACAUCCAAUGCUGCACAAGCCGUCUACGACAAAAAGUGCCACUAUCAUAAUAAGAUCAGCUCGGCUAUUUAAGGAAUUCAUGAGAAAAAUUAAAUAUCUGAGUUUUUAUUUGUCAAAAGUUGGCUGGUAUCAUUUGAAUUAUAUGUCAGUAUCAGUAAUUUGAUGCCAAAAAUUAACUAAUCAAAUCAAAGAGGCAAAAAAAGGAAGUUGUUGAUAUAAGAAAGUAACUAAUCAAAUUUGAUGCUCCAUUUUGUGUGUCAUUAGGUAGUGGAGUUGGUAGGCUUACACUGUGAUGAAUGCAUCAAGAAGAUCUUGAAGAUACCCAAAAUUGAUGUUACUACAGAAAGAUUUACAAAAGUGGUUAUAACCAAAAUUGAUGUUACUGUAGAAAUAUUUACACUGUAUAGGAUAGAAUACAUCAACUUUUGCAAGAAACAAAUGAAAGAAAUGCAGAGACAGCUUAAGAAAAUGAACAAAUCUUAAAAGCUUUUUUAUCGCACCCCAAAACAACAGAAAGGGUGAAAAUACAAGAUAUCAGGACUAAGAGUCACUCCGGUGCCUGGAAGAAGUUCGGAGUAGGGGAGGAGAAAAAGGUUCUUAACAAAUGUUAGAUGGAAGCAAUGAUUAUACCCAAAAUUGAUGUCACCGCAGAUAUAUUUAGAUAUACAAUAAUAGAAAAGAUUGAUUUGGACACACAAUAUAAUUAAUAAUUGGAGUAGAACUAAGUGCACUGUAUGAAGAAUGUUGGGUUUCCAGAAAAUAUGGCAGAACUUAUAUAGCAUAAAAAGGAAUUUUAAGGGAGAAGGGUAGGUGGGUUGGGGGAGAGUAGAAAUAAACAUAAUUUACAUACAGACACUUGAGAUAUAGAAAUCCUUUAACAUACACACUGAAACACAUGAAAUUAUGGAAACAGAAGCCAACAAUGAUGUAGCACCAAAUUAUGUAAUCUUCACAGAAUUACAUGUACCAUAAAAGUUCUGCAUUUGUAUAAAUAUUGUGUUCCUAAUGAAAACAAUCUACUUAAUUUAAAUUAUAGGAUUUUUUCAUAAGUGAAAAAAAUAACAAUACAAAAAAAAAUUGUGUCAUAAAAUCCAUUUUUCGUUAAGCCAAAGAACGUGAGUUCAUUGCAUGAUUCUAAGUAAGAAGAAGCUAGCGUUACCAAAAUAUUACAAAAGCUGCUUCUGGUCCAAUUUCUGAUUCAGAAAAUCGUUCUGGGAGAAGCCAUGUCAAUCCCUGAAAGUAAUUUUUUCAACAAUCAGAUAGAGGUGAAGUUCUAAAAUCCCAUGCAGCUUAAUAUCAACGUACUCAAACAUUUCCACGCAG